rnacentral:rRNA from 1 species
CUGGCGGCGUGCUUAACACAUGCAAGUCGAACGCGAAAGGGAACUUCGGUCCUGAGUAAAGUGGCGGCACGGGUGAGUAACGCGUAGAUAACCUGUCUUCAUGUCUGGAAUAAUACGCCGAAAGGGGUACUAAUACCGGAUAUUCUUGCUUUUCAUAAGUUAUGCAAGCAAAGGUGGCCUCUGCAUAUGCUACUGCAUGAAGAGGGGUCUGCGUACCAUUAGCUAGUAGGUGGGGUAAUGGCCUACCUAGGCGACGAUGGUUAGCGGGUCUGAGAGGAUGAUCCGCCACACUGGCACUGGAACACGGGCCAGACUCCUACGGGAGGCAGCAGUGAGGAAUAUUGCGCAAUGGGGGAAACCCUGACGCAGCGACGCCGCGUGAGUGAGGAAAGGCCUUCGGGUCGUAAAGCUCUGUCAAGAGGAAAGAAGUGUACAAUGGCUAAUACCUGUUGUAUUUGACGGUACCUCUAAAGGAAGCACCGGCUAACUCCGUGCCAGCAGCAGC